GGACCCGUAGCUCAGCUUGGAUAGAGCGCUGGCUUGCGGAGCCAGAGGUCGCGGGUUCAAAUCCCGCCGGGUCCG
rnacentral:tRNA from 1 species